CGGGGCUCUUGCCGCUAAGCCACGCCGCUUCACGCACCGGCGUAAAAGUGCUCCGUAGCCAGUAAGCAGUGAAUACCAUUUCAACACUACUGGUAACAAGGUUGGAACCCGACAUUUUUCAGACAUCUUCUGGGCCAUGCUUUAGGAGAGAAUGAUUAUUACCGUCUCUUCCACUUUCUCCUCCCCGGAACCGCCACUGCCUGGAGCACUGAAGUCAAACACCCAUCUAUCCCACUUCAAGCCUGAAUCUUGAAGUCAAUCGUGCCUAAAGGCGAGGUGAGGAAAUUGUACGAGAAGAGUCAGGGGGUAGAGUUGAAAGAGAGACAUUGUCAAUCUACCCUUGUUUUGACAUCUUUUUCGAUGCUAAUACUCCUAGAAGCGGGGUAAGGGAUUAAAAAAAAAUGUUGUUAGCGGAAACACAGCUUUAAAUGCAAAUCAAUGUAAUUUGCCUCGUUGUUGAGACAAAACCAGGUUGGAAGGUCUCCAGCAUUCUUCAAAGUUUCACUCUCUCUCUAAAUCAUGUGGUAAAAAGGUCAGAAACCACUAAGAGAGAACUCUCGAGUUGAGCUAAACUGGAUUAGGUUGUCAUCUAAACCAGACUCCAGAGACUUAUUUACAAGACUCAAGCCUUGGGAGAUCAUUUUCGCUUCCUUAGUUCAACCAGCCUCCCUAGUCACCCCUAAAUUUGAAGGCAGUCCUUUAUUGUCCUCGCAUUAUUCGACACGACAAUAUCCGAAAACGGUGACGUAUUAAAACUCAAAAAGAAAGGAGGGCAGCCCCAGUACCAGACUACUACAUUUUUCUAGUAGAUAUUUUUCAAGACAGGGCCAGCUACAGACACCUACGUGUUAAAUCUGAAAAACUGGUGAGGGAGAAAACACCCUCUACUUAUUUGAGCGUUAAUCUCUAAUAGAUUGCAAUCUCGAGGGGAGGAACCAUGUAUCCUGUAGCUGUUGUACUUUGCCACGCCUCUGGUCCAGUGCUUAGUACGCAGUACAAGCUCAGUGAAUACCGUUGACUGAUUCCCCAUCCCCAAGAUGAGUCCUGGCGCAAGGAUCGCAAUUUAAGGACAAUGUGGGGAAAAAGACUCAAAACCACCCUCAAAUUUGAAUAUGAGCGUAGAUCGAAGAUAGGAACAGAAUUCAAAAUGAUUGCCCAGUCACAAGUUAUGGCCCGUAGGUCGGCUUUUUCUAUGAAGGAGUGGUUAUUAAGAACAGGGAAAGCCAGGUUUGCGGGGAGAGGGGACGAUAAUCCAGACUUCCAAAGGCUGUCAUUUGAGAGUCUAAACAUACAAACGCCCAAGUACUUAGUAGUAUCAAAAUGACCCUGAGCACCUCAUUGUAAGCAAGGGCCUCUACUAGGGGCUUGAAGAACCAACAAAACAAGCAAAAGAUGCGAUCCCUGCCUCGGAUACGCUUACGCUCUAGUGAGGAAAUGAGAAACCGAAUACCAGGCUCCAACAGACUUAGGAUGAGUAAACAGCAAAUACGUCAGUGUUGAGAAGUAGGAAGGCACGACUGGGAAAGAGGGAUUAAUGAUAAUUGUGGAAUCUGUUAAGCGCUUACUCUGCCCACAGCCCUGGCGAAGCUUACAAGACCAUCAGGUCACACAUGGGGCUCACGGUCUAAGGAGGGAACCCGCCUCGAGAGUCAUUUUAGACCACCCCGCUGCCCUUAAUCCCACUCGGGGUCAGCCUUCGGUCGACUUCUCUUUAGCGACACGAUUCCGACCCCUUGACUUUUUAAUUACAAACUCGAUUUCCAGAUUACCAUUUGCGGCCGCUCUUUUACCUCACCAUUUUAACGCCUCCCGAUACAUCCGAGGCACCGUCCUCCCGUGAAGGACCUCAGGGCCAGGUACGGCUCGGGACGGGAUCUUCCGGUCCCGUCCCGGGUGGGUAGAGACGGUUCGGUUUUCACUCUAGGCGGAAUCCCGGGGUCGCUCCACAAGUGAACGAAUCUCUGGGUAGAGCUGGUCUCCUUCCCCCGUUCAUUUGCCCAUCUGCAUCCGGUCCCUCUGGGACGUAUUUAACCCGACUCCCGAUCGCAUAUAUCGCACGUCAGAAGGCUGUCAGAGCAACAAGCGCACCCGUGCCGUUCUCAAAGGGACGCCGUGAGGAUUUCGAGAUGAAAUCUCAGGAAUCAAAGCACUUAGUGAUAAUAAUAUAAUACUACUUUGAUUUUACGAUUAGUACGUCAAUGUCACUUGUUAAGAGACCUCUGUUUUGAAUCGGAGUAGGAAGGAUUGAUUGAAAAGCAGAAGAGCAUCUGGGAAUUCAUUAAAUGGGAAAUGGGAGCGAAGCAGAGUACAAACCUCGCAGAGCAACCACCUCGUUUUGGAAGCGUUUCUCAGGAACCUGGCCCGACUUGAAUUUCAUUAGGAGGUAUUUCUCCGAAAUAGUUCAUGAGGUGGUAUUUCUCAGAAACGGGACUACGUUUGGCAAAAUCAGAAAAGCAGAUAAGUUCAAAAAGAUCUAAAAAAACAACAAAAACUCGGGUUUUUAACCUCAAACGCAGGCUUCGAGCCAGCUCUUUGUCUCUAAAUGCAAAUUCCGUUCCACAGAGCAGAAAUUUUACCUAAUAAAUGCUAUUGAGUGA